AUGGCUUCUUGGCCUUUUGGCUAAGAUCAAGUAUAGUAUCUGUUCUUAUCAGUUUAAUAUCUGAUACGUCCUAUAUCUGAGGACAAUAGUAAAUGGAUUUUUGGAAGUAGGGGUUGGAAUAGGAGCUUGCCCCGUCCACUCCACACAUUGACUGGUAUUGCAGUACCUCCAGGAACGGUGCACCCCAU
ensembl:snRNA LOC120094958 U2 spliceosomal RNA